AAACACAUGCAAGUCGAACGAUGAACCACUUCGGUGGGGAUUAGUGGCGAACGGGUGAGUAACACGUGGGCAAUCUGCCCUUCACUCUGGGACAAGCCCUGGAAACGGGGUCUAAUACCGGAUACAACCGCCGGCCGCAUGGUCUGGUGGUGGAAAGCUCCGGCGGUGAAGGAUGAGCCCGCGGCCUAUCAGCUUGUUGGUGAGGUAGAGGCUCACCAAGGCGACGACGGGUAGCCGGCCUGAGAGGGCGACCGGCCACACUGGGACUGAGACACGGCCCAGACUCCUACGGGAGGCAGCAGUGGGGAAUAUUGCACAAUGGGCGCAAGCCUGAUGCAGCGACGCCGCGUGAGGGAUGACGGCCUUCGGGUUGUAAACCUCUUUCAGCAGGGAAGAAGCGAGA
rnacentral:rRNA from 1 species